rnacentral:rRNA from 1 species
GAUGAACGCUGGCGGCGUGCCUAAUACAUGCAAGUCGAGCGAACAGAUGAGGAGCUUGCUCCUCUGACGUUAGCGGCGGACGGGUGAGUAACACGUAGAUAACCUACCUAUAAGACUGGGAUAACUUCGGGAAACCGGAGCUAAUACCGGAUAAUAUAUUGAACCGCAUGGUUCAAUAGUGAAAGACGGUUUUGCUGUCACUUAUAGAUGGAUCCGCGCCGCAUUAGCUAGUUGGUAAGGUAACGGCUUACCAAGGCAACGAUGCGUAGCCGACCUGAGAGGGUGAUCGGCCACACUGGAACUGAGACACGGUCCAGACUCCUACGGGAGGCAGCAGUAGGGAAUCUUCCGCAAUGGGCGAAAGCCUGACGGAGCAACGCCGCGUGAGUGAUGAAGGUCUUCGGAUCGUAAAACUCUGUUAUUAGGGAAGAACAAAUGUGUAAGUAACUAUGCACGUCUUGACGGUACCUAAUCAGAAAGCCACGGCUAACUACGUG